GAUGAACGCUGGCGGCGUGCCUAAUACAUGCAAGUCGAGCGAACGGACGAGAAGCUUGCUUCUCUGAUGUUAGCGGCGGACGGGUGAGUAACACGUGGAUAACCUACCUAUAAGACUGGGAUAACUUCGGGAAACCGGAGCUAAUACCGGAUAAUAUUUUGAACCGCAUGGUUCAACAGUGAAAGACGGUCUUGCUGUCACUUAUAGAUGGAUCCGCGCUGCAUUAGCUAGUUGGUAAGGUAACGGCUUACCAAGGCAACGAUGCAUAGCCGACCUGAGAGGUUGAUCGGCCACACUGGAACUGAGACACGGUCCAGACUCCUACGGGAGGCAGCAGUAGGGAAUCUUCCGCAAUGGGCGAAAGCCUGACGGAGCAAUGCCGCGUGAGUGAUGAAGGUCUUCGGAUCGUAAAACUCUGUUAUUAGGGAAGAACAUAUGUGUAAGUAACUGUGCACAUCUUGACGUUACCUAAUCAGAAAGCCACGGCUAACUACGUG
rnacentral:rRNA from 1 species